UGCAACACCAUAGCCGUCUCGUAGGCACCCUGAGGAUCGAGGCAGUUCCCCUAGGGUAGGUGCUUUCUUUGCGAGUAUGUCUGUUGAUGGCGUUGUGUCCUAUCUGUUCAAGGAAAGCUGUCCAACUCAAUGUGUAAUGCAUCAGUGGCAUUGGUACAUAAUCUGCAUCUGUUGUCAGAAUUGCUACUAUAAGGGAGAAAGGAGUUAAAGUAAGCCAGUUGGAGAUAGAGAUUCGAGAUCUGAGUUCACAUUUCCACUUCCUCCACCGAUGGUCGGAUCAUGUAGUUGUUCUGAGGGUUUGCUUCAAGCGCUUGAGCCGAGCUAUGGAGCAUACCAUUCUGUAGAUGCGUGAUGAGCUCAAAGCUCUUUCUUGCCCCGACUUCUAAGUUUGGCCCCGUCUCCCUUUGCAAAAUAGGGACUAAAAGGUGUGCAUACCAUUCUGAAGCUUCUUUGGUUUGCAAAGCAGAUUUGGGCUGGGGCUUUUUGCUUGUUCAACUGAUGCGUCUAAUGCUCGCAAUACCAGAAUUGUCCCUAUUUCAAUGGGCAGAAGUCUGCAAUUGCCCUUGUUGUUCCUGUUUAUUACAACUCACAUCUAUGGCGGUGUAGUCGUUUGUUGUUGAAUUGGAAAGAUGGUGAGCUGUCUUCAGAGUGUAUUCCCUCUAUCUCGAUCCUGCCGAUCACCCAACCAACUAGAGAACACCAUCUAUCCCUUAAUUUGCUUUUCCAAGAAUUCUCCAUAUGCUACAAACGGAAGCGGUGGUUCGGUGCUGGUAGCUUCCACACUACGUAGGAGGGCUCCCAUCUCUAUAUCUAUCUAUAACCGUACAUAAAAAAAGCAAAAGCUCAUUGUUUUGUUCAGUUUCCAUUUCACCAUCAUGUAAACAAAACCAGACAACGCAAUACGUAAGUUCCCUUUCGAGCCAUGUACUGUGUGUGUUUUGUACCUCUCUCUGUUCGAUUGUGAAUUUUAACUUCGUUCACUUUUGUAUUUUUAUGUUGGUCACAUCUGUGCUGCGAAACCAGACAAUUUGAUGAUGGGUCCUAAGUGAUGAUAUAGAUGCUGGGUCCAAGCUUGUUAGGAGAAUUGCAAAAAUGGCACCUGGGAUUGGUGGCUUUGGAGGACUUUUCCCUCUUGCAGAAAAUGAAUGGCCAAAGAUAUGGGCAGAAGGUGAUGCAACUUUUUUAAUCGAAACAAUUCUACAUAAUACACAAAGAGAUUAUUACAGCAUCGUAUGGAAACUCAUAGGCAACAUUCAAAGAAGAAGACAUAAUUUUGAAGAUUGUAAAAUCACCUUCAUUCUUUGAGAAGGUAACUCUGCAGCAAAUGUAUUAUGCAACCACAUCAAAGAAAAGUAUGGGAACUUCAAAUACGAUGACAAGACUUUACCACGCAAAAUUAAAAAUAUUAUACAUCAAGAAAGGCAAGGAUGUAUCUAUACACAUUGUAUAUAAUCACACUAAUAUAGGGUACUUCUUCUUCUUCUUAUCUUUUGUAAACAAACGCCCGUUGUACAUAUCUACUAUAAUGUAUAAUGUUAUGAAAACAAGCUGCUGUAUGG